UACGUAGGUGGCAAGCGUUGUCCGGAUUUACUGGGCGUAAAGAGCACGCAGGCGGUCGUUCAAGUCGAAUGUGAAAGCCCCCGGCUCAACUGGGGAGGGUCAUUCGAUACUGAUCGACUUGAAGGCAGGAGAGGGAAGCGGAAUUCCCGGUGUAGUGGUGAAAUGCGUAGAUAUCGGGAGGAACACCAGUGGCGAAGGCGGCUUCCUGGCCUGUUCUUGACGCUGAUGUGCGAAAGCCAGGGGAGCAAAC
rnacentral:rRNA from 1 species